UCUCGCCUGCCACGCGGGAGGCCCGGG
rnacentral:piRNA from 5 species